rnacentral:rRNA from 1 species
AGAUUGAACGCUGGCGGCAUGCCUAACACAUGCAAGUCGAGCGGCGAGCGCGGGGGCGACCCUGGCGGCGAGCGGCGGACGGGUGAGUAAGGCAUCGGAACUCUGCCCUGGAUGUGGGGAUAACGUAGGGAAACUUACGCUAAUACCGCAUACGCCGAGAGGUGAAAGCGGGGGACCGAAAGGCCUCGCGCAGCAGGAUGAGCCGAUGUCCGAUUAGCGUGGUUGGUGGGGUAACGGCCCACCAAGGCGACGAUCGGUAGCUGGUCUGAGAGGAUGACUCAGCCACACUGGGACUGAGACACGGCCCAGGACUCCACGGGAGCAGC